rnacentral:rRNA from 1 species
GCUUGCUUCUUCUGAUUUAGCGGCGGACGGGUGAGUAACACGUGGGCAACCUACCUAGUAGAUUGGGAUAACUCCGGGAAACCGGGGCUAAUACCGAAUAAUCCAUUUUGUCACAUGGCAAAAUGCUGAAAGGCGGUUUCGGCUGUCACUACUAGAUGGGCCCGCGGUGCAUUAGCUAGUUGGUGGGGUAAUGGCCUACCAAGGCAACGAUGCAUAGCCGACCUGAGAGGGUGAUCGGCCACAUUGGGACUGAGACACGGCCCAAACUCCUACGGGAGGCAGCAGUAGGGAAUCUUCCACAAUGGACGAAAGUCUGAUGGAGCAACGCCGCGUGAGUGAUGAAGGUUUUCGGAUCGUAAAACUCUGUUGUAAGGGAAGAACAAGUACGUUAGUAACUGAACGUACCUUGACGGUACCUUAUUAGAAAGCCACGGCUAACUACGUGCCAGCAGCCGCGGUAAUACGUAGGUGGCAAGCGUUGUCCGGAUUUAUUGGGCGUAAAGCGCGCGCAGGUGGUUUCUUAAGUCUGAUGUGAAAGCCCACGGCUCAACCGUGGAGGGUCAUUGGAAACUGGGAGACUUGAGUGCA